GACGAACGCUGGCGGCGUGCUUAACACAUGCAAGUCGAACGGAAAGGCCCUGCUUUUGUGGGGUGCUCGAGUGGCGAACGGGUGAGUAACACGUGAGUAACCUGCCCUUGACUUUGGGAUAACUUCAGGAAACUGGGGCUAAUACCGGAUAGGAGCUCCUGCUGCAUGGUGGGGGUUGGAAAGUUUCGGCGGUUGGGGAUGGACUCGCGGCUUAUCAGCUUGUUGGUGGGGUAGUGGCUUACCAAGGCUUUGACGGGUAGCCGGCCUGAGAGGGUGACCGGCCACAUUGGGACUGAGAUACGGCCCAGACGCCUACGGGAGGCAGUGGUGGGGAAUAUUGCACAAUGGGCGGAAGCCUGAUGCAGCAACGCCGCGUGCGGGAUGACGGCCUUCGGGUUGUAAACCGCUUUCGCCUGUGACGAAGCGUGAGUGACGGUAAUGGGUAAAGAAGCACCGGCUAACUACGUG
rnacentral:rRNA from 1 species